CCCAUCCUCUCCCGUCCUGCUCCACACCAGCCGCCACACAACCCUAGCCCAUUACCCAUCGAUCCCCACAGCCCCUCCCUCCGCCUCGCUACUGGCCAUGGCCUCCGCCCUAGGAGCCUCUCCGUGGCCUCCUACUCCCCCUACACUACCGUACGUGCACACAGACGGCGGUGCCGGAGAAGAGCAGCUCCAGUCAUGGUGGGGUGCGGCUGCGACGGAGAUGAAGGAGGUCCGCCGCCCGCCUUUGUCUCCUUGCUGCUCUUUGUUGCCGAUCCUCCUCUCUCCCUUCACCCCUAGCAGCGCAACAGCUGGGGACAAGGGGAAGGAGCAGGUCGACCCGACCUCAUCUCUAUGCACGAGGACUAGAGGAGCAGGUAGCGAGGGAAACCGGCAUGGCCAGCGGCAGCGCUGCACAGGGACGUCCGCCUCCGGUUUUCUGUCAUGUGUCCCGAUCCCCUUUCGUUUAGGAGAAUGUCGAUGUUAAAUCAUUUAGUUUUGAUGGAUCAUAUUAUUGGUUCUUUGUUCAACUGAAGAUUUCUCCAGAUAGGACUAAGGUGAGUUGAGUUGUGGCUUGGUUGGAGAUGUUGAUGAUAUUUGAGACGCCCGCUGGAUUCACCCUUUUCGAGGAUCUGAACAAGGGCAAGCUCGACAAGGUCGAGGUGAGUGCUCGCCACAAUCUCAGCUCUUGGUUUGGUUUGGAUUACUCAUGUUUUUUCUUUGAAGGCAAAAUACUUAGUAUGUGAUCUAUCUAUCACAUUAUAAUUGAGUAAGUCCAGAAAAGCCCUUUAUUUGGAUGAGUAAGAAUCUAUGGUGUGCUCCUAAGCUAUGUGUCCCUUUUCCAAAUGUUAGAAAGAAAAAACUUCUAAACAGCAAGGAGCACUCCACAACGAAACUCACUUAAACUGGCUGAUAGAUGAUACCCGUUUUUGAGCCUAUUUGCUCAAAAUAAUGAGAGGCUGAAUGAUUCAAACACAUGCCAACCAUCUUUCUCACCUCGGCAUUUUGUUACACUUGAUUACUAAUUCUUCAAGGAAUUGUUCCACGUUCGCCUAUUUCCCCAAACUGUAUGUAUGCAUUUCUCGCAAAGGAAACGAAUUUAAACCCUCUUCAAAAAAAUAUGGAUUGUCAUAAGGUUGAAAAAAAUGCAUCUGUUAUCCUGUAAGCACAUGAAUAGAAAGGCAAAAUGAAAGGUCAUUCAGUAGUGGAUAAUUUUACCUUGUUAGCCUAGACAACACUACAGGUACUAUGCAAUUGCUGACCUAUAUAUCCCAGGACAGGGUAUACAGAUAGCUCCUGACCUUGCCAGAGGGUAAGUAGUUCAUUUGGUUAAUCUGUUUUGCAUCAUUUAUUGGGACUGAUGAUCGGUACUUGCUGUCUAAAUGCAGUACACGCGCAUUGUAGCAAUAAGUUGUUAAUUAUCCCUUUAUAUUCAAUUCGAUCUCUGAUAAAUCAAGAAGUUGGCACUUGUCAGUAAGUUCAGUAUAUCAUCUUCUGUUUUGACAUAAUAUAUCAUGGUCAAAGAAUACAAAUAUUUUGCAAGUAGAAAAAGCAUACAAAUAUUAAUUCUCUGUAAAAAGAUGAAAUGUUCAGAUAUAUCAAUGCUUUCACUUCACUUGUCAUGCUUUUAUGAACUAUAUUUUUUGCAUAAUUGUUAUAUCAGAAUCGAAUUAAUCCAUCUGAUGCUCGACUGUAUCGAGUACAUUCCUUAUGUCAUUUUCACAGAUAAAUUAAUUUGUUUCAAGUAUUGCUUUUUUGCCAUAUCAACAUGAAGAGUUGUCAUAUAUUGGCUUGUUAAAUUUAUUAGGUGCCAAGUUCAGUUCCAUAUUCUUAAUUUUGUUUCUUCUGAUUUUGGUGUUGGUGUUUGUAUUGUAACUGAAAAUAUGCUCACAUUUUUUUGAAAUAUGUGUAUGCCAUUAACUGAUGUCACUGUGUUUUCCAGGGGUAUAUGGACCACAAAUGAUGUGAUAUACUUGGUUAUUUCAACAUGAGUAUGGCUCAGUAGGAAGGUCAACCGUGGGGAGGUGCAACAUAGUGCAGCCUCAGCGAAUUAGGUGUCCUGUUUCUUUGCCCAUUGCUUCUAUGGAACUCUUUUGUUUGGCUUAUGAAGGCACAUUCAUCUUGCAAGUACAAUCAUGAUUAAGAGUUAGAACGCCCCUGCACAUUGGUUUACUUUCUUACACUGCUUGGUGUUUCUUCUGCCUUAUAUAAUACGCCUUCUCACAUAAUAGUUUGGUAAAGAAAGAGUGAACUCACUACUAAAUUUUGCACUAAUUAUAUACUUAUUUCACUAUUAAUAAUGUGUAUUCGCUAUAUCUUCUCUCAUGAGUUCGUCAAAUUCCUUUCUCAACAUGCUUAGAUGCUUUUUUGUCGGAAAUUUUGGGCAACAUCAGAAGUAAUGGUCGAUCGGUUUAGCCUUUGUGUCAGUUUCAUAUGUAUAUAUGUCAUUGGCCUAGCUAACAUUGUGUGUCAGUAAUUUAUGCUUUCUUUCUUUGGAAUAAUUAUGCCUAGCUGGAAAUAGAGAGGAGUCAGGUACCUGCGUGUUACUGCUCUUUUUGUGGUCUAAAGUGUUCCUUAAGCUAAACCAGUAACCUGACAAUAUUUUGUGUUUAACUAAUAUCAUUCUUAUCACAGUGAGUAGAGUACUAUAUUAUUCAGUGAACAUCCUUUUUUUGGAAGAGGCGUGAAAGUGUAGAGGAUAGAAAUGGUAAAUGAAUGGGUGUUCUCUUUUUACACAAGCAUUCUCCGCCUGAUCUUGCUAUUGAUGCAUAUCCUUAUGUCAUUGGUAUUCUUCUGAUUUGCAUUGAUUAUAGGAAGCAAGCAUAUGCAUGAGUUGAAAUUGUUCUACUGAUUCCUCGAUGCUCUGUUCAUGGCUUUGUUCUUAUUUUAUCCUUCUUUCUUUGCUUUGUUCUUUCCUACAAGAAGAUGUCGAGUUGUGUAAUAUGUUCAAAGAAGAGAGAAUCUGCAUUUUAUGAAUGCUUUCUUCUUUCUUCAUUGUUACCUCAAGUUAGUGGAUUUAGUUAAGUUUUACUGAGCAACUUCAUACGCAUGGUUUCUCCAUCUACACAUCUUAUUCAGUCAUGAGGCCAUUAAGAUCUUUUGCCUUUUAGAAAAAGGGAGAUGCCAUUUAGACCUUAUUCUCUCCAACUUGAUCGUUAACUUGCUACUACUAUUUCUACGCAUUUUCCAAAUCACUAUUUUAUUUGCUACAGAGAAUGAGGUCACCUUACUCAGUGAAUAUUCCAACUAAAAAAUUAGAAACCGUGCAAUUAGUUUCACUCUUAAAUUUUGUACAGUAGUCCAGAUUACCCAAUAAAUCAUUUGUCAAUAGGGUCAAAUUAUUUAAGUUGAAUCAGUUGUUCCAAAUUACCCAUUCCAAAUGUUGUACAACACAGUGAAGUUGUUCCAAUCAUAGAUGUUGAGACAAAAUAUCCUUUAUCUGGAACCAUUUACGUAAAUAACUAACAUUAAAAGAAACAACUAUUUAUGGUUAGCGCAUUCAAGGAUUUAUCAUUCGUUCAGAUCCUAGAGGAAGACAUUGGGAAGAUCGUAUGUUCAGAUCCUUAAUGCAUAUUAA